AUUAAGGUAAUUCACAAGGUCUUAAAGAACACACACAUGGACAUACACACUCUAUAAAUCUUUGCCCACAACUUCAGAAAUAAAAGGAACUGUUCAUUCAUUAAAUGAACCGAAGUUUUUUUNUUUUUUUUUUUUUUUUUUUUUUUUUUUCUUGGGUGGGUGGAUGGAUGGAUGAUGACUGAUGGAUAAAUACACAAUACACAAAAACAUGUUUUUUGAAUUUACAGUGACUGAAUCCCACAACUUCAAGGAGGAAAAGGGCAUAAUCACUUAAGGAUACUCCAUGCAGUAUAGAAGGCCACCAUUAGGACCAAGUCCAAGCUCCUCCAUAACAUCAUCCAAUGAAACGAGCUCCCUAAUAUCUGAUAGUCAAAACGUUCGGCAGCAGGGUCAAGAUUCACAACAUGCAUAGUUCGGCCAACUGUCUCGCAGUGUUGGUGCAAGCUAGAGCAGUAAGUUGACUGAUUCAAGUAAAAACUUCGAUGAAGUUAAUUAAAAUCAAUCGGCAUUUUAGACCAAAAUGGUUCAUAGAUGGAAUCAAACAAUG